rnacentral:rRNA from 1 species
AGCGUAGGCGGUUUGGUAAGUCAGAUGUGAAAUCCCGGGGCUCAACCCCGGAACUGCAUCCGAUACUGCCGGACUUGAGUAAUGGAGGGGUAGAUGGAAUUCUCGGUGUAGCAGUGAAAUGCGUGGAUAUCGAGAGGAACACUCGUGGCGAAGGCGAUCUACUGGACAUUUACUGACGCUGAGGCUCGAAGGCCAGGGUAGCGAAAG